rnacentral:lncRNA from 10 species
UGAAACAGGCUGAUGGAACGAUCUGGUGCUCUCAUGAAAAUCUACAUCAGGAGGACCUAGAAAAGGAAGGAGGCAUUGAAUUUCCUCAGAUCUACUAUGAUCGAUUCAGUGGCAAAAAGUUUGGAGAGAAGAUGGCUUUUAUCCCUCAGAACCUGUUUUUGUUCCAGCACCAGGAACCAAUGAAGAAGAUGGUGGGGUUAUUCUUUCUGUGGUGAUCACUCCCAACCAGAAUGAAAGCAAUUUUAUCCUAGUUUUGGAUGCCAAGAACUUUGAAGAGCUGGGCCGAGCAGAGGUACCUGUGCAGAUGCCUUAUGGGUUCCAUGGUACCUUCAUACCCAUCUGAUGGGACAACCACAAGGUCUGGAAACUAGGUUUAAAAUAAGUGUGCACUUGGACAUAAAGACUGGAGAAAUAAACACUGAGGACUCCAAAAGGGGGGCAAGGAGGAAGAGGGGCAGGGGUUAAAAAGCUACCUAUUGAAUACUAUGUUCCCUAUUUGGGUGAUGGGUUCGUUAGAAGUCCAAACCUCAGCAGCACACAAUAUACUCAUGUAACAAGCCUGCACAUGUACCCCAGAAUCUAAAAUAA